UCCUUGGUGGCUCAGAUGGUAAAGAAUCUGCCUGCAAUGCAGGAGACCCAGGUUUGAUCCCUGGGCCAGGAA
rnacentral:tRNA from 1 species